rnacentral:rRNA from 1 species
GACGAACGCUGGCGGCGUGCUUAACACAUGCAAGUCGAACGAUGAAGCCGGAGCUUGCUCUGGUGAAUUAGUGGCGAACGGGUGAGUAACACGUGAGUAACCUGCCCUUGACUCUGGGAUAACUGCGGGAAACUGUAGCUAAUACCGGAUACGACCCUCGGAGGCAUCUCCUGGGGGUGGAAAGAAUUUCGGUCAAGGAUGGACUCGCGGCCUAUCAGCUAGUUGGUGAGGUAAAGGCUCACCAAGGCGACGACGGGUAGCCGGCCUGAGAGGGGGACCGACCACACUGGGACUGAGAAACGGCCCAGACUCCUACGGGAGGCAGCAGUGGGGAAUAUUGCACAAUGGGCGGAAGCCUGAUGCAGCAACGCCGCGUGAGGGAUGACGGCCUUCGGGUUGUAAACCUCUUUUAGCAGGGAAGAAGCGAGAGUGACGGUACCUGCAGAAAAAGCACCGGCUAACUACGUGCCAGCCGCCGCCGUAA